UACGGAGGGUGCUAGCGUUGUUCGGAAUUACUGGGCGUAAAGGGCGCGUAGGCGGCCUGCUAAGUCGAACGUGAAAUCCCCGGGCUCAACCCGGGAACUGCGUCCGAUACUGGCAGGCUUGAAUCCGGGAGAGGGAUGUGGAAUUCCAGGUGUAGCGGUGAAAUGCGUAGAUAUCUGGAGGAACACCGGUGGCGAAGGCGGCAUCCUGGACCGGUAUUGACGCUGAUGCGCGAAAGCCAGGGGAGCAAACGGG
rnacentral:rRNA from 1 species